rnacentral:rRNA from 1 species
CCGCCACACUGGGACUGAGACACGGCCCAGACUCCUACGGGAGGCAGCAGUGGGGAAUUUUGGACAAUGGGCGCAAGCCUGAUCCAGCCAUGCCGCGUGUCUGAAGAAGGCCUUCGGGUUGUAAAGGACUUUUGUUAGGGAAGAAAAAGGAGCGGUUAAUACCCGUUUCUGCUGACGGUACCUAAAGAAUAAGCACCGGCUAACUACGUGCCAGCAGCCGCGGUAAUACGUAGGGCGCGAGCGUUGUCCGGAAUUAUUGGGCGUAAAGGGCUUGUAGGCGGCUGGUCGCGUCUGCCGUGAAAUCCUCUGGCUCAACUGGGGGCGUGCGGUGGGUACGGGCUGGCUUGAGUGCGGUAGGGGAGGCUGGAACUCCUGGUGUAGCGGUGGAAUGCGCAGAUAUCAGGAAGAACACCGGUGGCGAAGGCGGGUCUCUGGGCCGUUACUGACGCUGAGGAGCGAAAGCGUGGGGAGCGAACAGGCUUAGAUACCCUGGUAGUCCACGCUGUAAACGGUGGGUACUAGGUGUGGGGUCCAUUCCACGGGUUCCGUGCCGUAGCUAACGCUUUAAGUACCCCGCCUGGGGAGUACGGCCGCAAGGCUAAAACUCAAAGGAAUUGACGGGGCCCCGCACAAGCGGCGGAGCAUGCGGAUUAAUUCGAUGCAACGCGUAGAACCUUACCUGGGUUUGACAUGGAUCGGGAGUGCUCAGAGAUGGGUGUGCCUCUUUUGGGGUCGGUUCACAGGUGGUGCAUGGCUGUCGUCAGCUCGUGUCGUGAGAUGUUGGGUUAAGUCCCGCAACGAGCGCAACCCUUGUUCACUGUUGCCAGCACGUUAUGGUGGGGACUCAGUGGAGACCGCCGGGGUCAACUCGGAGGAAGGUGGGGAUGACGUCAAAUCAUCA